rnacentral:rRNA from 1 species
UAGGGAAUAUUGCGCAAUGGGCGAAAGCCUGACGCAGUGACACCGUGUGAAGGAUGAAGACCUUAGGGUUGUAAACUUCUGUCAAUUGAGGACGAAGGUAGUAGGGUUAAUAGCCUGAAUACUGACGGUACUUAAUAAGGAAGUCUCGGCUAACUCCGUGCCAGCAGCCGCGGUAAGACGGGGGAGGCAAGCGUUGUUCGGAAUUAUUGGGCGUAAAGAGCGCGUAGGUGGCUUUUCAAGUCAUAUGUGAAAACCUCAGGCUUAACUUGAGGAUUGCAUGUGAAACUGGAAAACUUGAGUGCAGUAGAGGAAAGUGGAAUUCCUGGUGUAGCGGUGAAAUGCGCAGAUAUCAGGAAGAACACCAGCGGCGAAGGCGGCUUUCUGGGCUGCUACUGACGCUGAGGCGCGAAAGCUAGGGGAGCGAACAGG